CCUACGGGAGGCAGCAGUGGGGAAUAUUGGACAAUGGGGGCAACCCUGAUCCAGCCAUGCCGCGUGUGUGAAGAAGGCCCUCGGGUUGUAAAGCACUUUCAGUGAGGAAGAACGCCUGGUGGUUAAUACCCAUCAGGAAAGACAUCACUCACAGAAGAAGCACCGGCUAACUCCGUGCCAGCAGCCGCGGUAAUACGGAGGGUGCGAGCGUUAAUCGGAAUUACUGGGCGUAAAGCGCGCGUAGGUGGCUUGAUAAGCCGGUUGUGAAAGCCCCGGGCUCAACCUGGGAACGGCAUCCGGAACUGUCAAGCUAGAGUGCAGGAGAGGAAGGUAGAAUUCCAGGUGUAGCGGUGAAAUGCGUAGAGAUCGGGAGGAAUACCAGUGGCGAAGGCGGCCUUCUGGACUGACACUGACACUGAGGUGCGAAAGCGUGGGUAGCAAACAGGAUUAGAUACCCCAGUAGUC
rnacentral:rRNA from 1 species